GUGGGUCAGCGGCGGGUCCGGGUUCGGGAUCGGGGUCGGGAUCGGGAGGGGGUCCUCGCCCCCUUGGACGGGGAGCCGGAGACGGAUUAUUCUCUGCGGGGCAACACCAACAAUUUCCCUUCCACCUGCGGUGAGAGGUUUAUUGGAAGAAAAACCCCAACUGGAAGCAAACCAUGGCUGAAGAUGUGGGAAUAGCAACAAGUGAACUGGCCCGAGGACUGAGAGCAUCAACUGGAGAGAACAACACUGAAUCGGCUGACUUGGAGUUCCCACUGAGUCAGUGAGGAGGAAGUUUGUUAGACCUGCAGUGAGAGGUUUAUUGGAAGAAAAACCGCAACUGGAAGCAAACCACGACUGAAGACGGGAACAGCAAUAAGUGAACCAGCCUGAGGACUGAGAACAUAAACUGGAGAGAACAACUCUGCCUCAGGAGAAUCGGAGAUUCCAUUGAUUCAGUCAGGAGAAAGUUUGGAUAAAAAACGAGAAGGAAUUUGUCUCCAGGAAUCUCAAACACGACACGCCAGUUUUGCUGUCUCUGUCUAGAUAUUUAAGAAGUGGAGCAAGGUAUUCAAUCAACCAUCCUUCCUGCUCAGACUGUGGGGAGGGAUUCACUUGGUCAUUUGAACAUCUAGCAAGCCCGUCAUCUUACAGAGGAGAAAGGCCUUUCACCUGCUCAGACAGUGGGAAUGGAUUCACUCGGUUAUCACAAUUGAAGGUAUAUCAGCAAGUUCACAAUGGGCAAGGCCAUUCACCUGUUCUGUGUGUGAGAAAGGAUUCUGUCGGGCAACCCACCUGUGGACACACCAGUCAGAUCACACUGUGCAGAGACUGGUCAUCUGCUGAAUUUCGGUGAAGGGAUUCUCUCGGUCAUCUGACCUAAUGGCACACCAGCGUGUUCACACGAGGGGGCGGCCAUUCACCUGCACAGUCUGUGGGAAGGGAUUCACUGCAUCAUCCAACCUACAGAGACAUCAGCGA